GACGAACGCUGGCGGCGUGGAUUAGGCAUGCAAGUCGAACGGUAUCAUCCUUUCGGGGGUGAGAGAGUGGCGAACUGGUGAGUAACACGUAGGUUAUCUACCCUCAAGACGGGGACAACCCAGGGAAACUUGGGCUAAUACCGGAUGUGAGCAACUUUUAGUUGUUUGAAAGGUGGCGUAAGCUGUCGCUUGGGGAUGAGCCUGCGUCCUAUUAGUUAGUUGGUGAGGUAACGGCUCACCUAGGCAAUGAUAGGUAGGCGGCCUUAACGGGUGGUCGCCCACACUGGGAUUGAGAUACGGCCCAGACUCCUACGGGAGGCAGCAGUCGAGAAUAGUCUACAAUGGUCGGAAGACUGAUAGUGCGACGCCGCGUGAACGAUGAAUCCCUUCGGGGUGUAAAGUUCUUUUAUAUGUGAGCAGUGCUUCUUAUUAUUAAACAGUAUGGGGAGAGAGAUAUUAGCAUAUAGAUAAAGCAACGGCUAAACUCCGUAGCCAGCAGCCGCGGUAAACUCGU
rnacentral:rRNA from 1 species